rnacentral:tRNA from 1 species
GGGGCUAUCAGCUCAGCUGGGAGGCGCCUGCUUUGCACGCAGGAGGUCUGCGGUUCGAUCCCGCAUAGCUUCACCA